GGUGAGUAAUGCAUUGAUAACCUACCUAUGAGACGGGGAUAACAACGUUCCGCAAGGGACUCCCGAAAGGGUUGCUAAUACCCGAUAAAACUCUUGGUGCUUAGGCAUUGAGAGUCAAAGUUUGGGGCUGAAAGGUUCCACAUGCUCAGAGAGGGGUCAAUGUCCUAUCAGCUAGUUGGUAGGGUAAAGGCCUACCAAGGCGAAGACGGGUAGCCGGCCUGAGAGGGUGGUCGGCCACACUGGGACUGAGACACUGCCCAGACUCCUACGGGAGGCUGCAGUCGAGAAUCUUUCGCAAUGCCCGGAAGGGUGACGAAGCGACGCCGCGUGUGGGAAGAAGGCCUUCGGGUUGUAAACCACUGUCGGGAGUUAAGAAGUGUAAGGGGGUUAAUAGUCUCCUUGCUUGACGUUAGCUCCGGAGGAAGCCACGGCUAACUCUGUGCCAGCAGCCGCGGUAAUACAGAGGUGGCAAGCGUUGUUCGGAAUUAUUGGGCGUAAAGAGCACGUAGGCGGCCCUACAAGUCAGUUGUGAAAUCCUUCUGCUCAACGGAAGAACGGCAGUUGAUACUAUAGGGCUCGAGUGCGGGAGGGGAGAGUGGAACUUCUGGUGGAGCGGUGAAAUGCGUAGAUAUCAGAAGGAACAUCGGCGGCGAAGGCGACUCUCUGGCCCGUAACUGACGCUGAGGUGCGAAAGCUAGGGGAGCAAACGGGAUUAGAUA
rnacentral:rRNA from 2 species